GAGCAACAACAUUCGGACCGUCGGUCUAGCGAGCAAUUACACCCGCUCGGUAGAAGAUCUUCCCUUUGUCGUAAACC
rnacentral:pre_miRNA from 1 species